rnacentral:pre_miRNA from 1 species
UUAGCUCAUAUUUGUAUGGAGUGGGAUCGUUUGCCUACGUUUGCCGUUAGGGGCGCUGUUCCAACUGCAUACAAAACUAUCUA